GGACUAUUUUGCCUCCCAUCGCCCCCUCCGCCGCCUGCGAUGCGUUCAGCCCUGGCCCGUGAGGACGGGACUACUUUCUGCCACAGAGCUGCGGCGGCGUCCGAGAGGCAGCACAAAGGCUCCGAUCCCGAUCCCCAUCCCCGAUCCCAAUCCCGGGACGGGCUGUAACGCCGGAGCAUCGCCCGGGGGGCGGGCGGCAGGCAGAAUGAAGUUACGGUCCGUCUCCCCGCUGUUCGGGCUGAAAAGCCAUAAAUCCCGGCCUUUCCCAGAGCAGAGGGAGCAGGCGUUCCUUAUCAGCAGGAAUUGCUGCCCGGCUGAUAUGAGAAAAUCUACUUCAUGAUUUCAACGUUUUCAUUCAGUCUAGAUGUCUACAUCACACUCUCCCUCCCUCACAGAACGUGACAGCUGGAGGAGAUAACAUCUGGGCCAGAUUAAAGGCCUGGGCAUUGCAGGCUGACUCUAAAGGGCUCCUGGAGUCAUGUGAUAUUAUCAGACUCAGCUUUUACUGGAGCAAAAUUUUUAAAAAUAGAAGAAAACAGAGGGAUUUCUUUAAAUGAAGUGUAUUUCCAACCUUCAAGGUUGCAAAAAAAAAAAAAAAAAGAUUUUGAAAAUGUAAACAAUUCAGCUCAACAGCAGUAUCUGCCUGAGGCCAGGUCUACAUUACAAAAUUUGUCCUUGACUAUCUGCUGGGUGAAAUAGCCCCCUCUGUUACUGUGCUGUUGGGAGGAUUAGCAAACUCGAACAAGAUCCACGUGGAUAAUGGAUGGGAAGACUUGCCAUACAAAAAUGUACCCUGGAGAAGAGAGAACCUGUGUCCAAUCGUUGUUUGUCGCCUCUAGAUUUUGCAGGAGCCAACAAAAGAAGCACACUUUUCUAUUUAUUUUCACUGUUUAAAAGGAAAAUGAAGUUGUUGUUGGUUUGGGGUUUUUUCCCCCCUCACAGUGUUUCCUUAUACUUUUUCCAUACUCACAAUGUUCCACAAUCUGUCAAUAACCUCUUGAGAAGUACGCCAGAUCUGUAAUGAAUUCUUUGUAUCUUAAUCAUACAGUGCACAGCUGAGGAAAACCUCAAGCUUGCACCCCUGCAUCACAAAACCACAUUUCUCCACAUGCCAUUCCCUCUCAUAUCUUAUCUGUUUCUGCUGGAAACACUCUGGUGUCUUGACUAUCUCUCUUGGGAGCCUGAUCCCCUGCCUGGUUGCUCUGACUCUUAAAGACAUCUCCCCUGCUGCCCAAGCUGACUGGUUUUAUUUUUAGCUUUUGAACACUUAUAUGCUAUCACUGGUACAUUUUGCCAUUUUUCUAUAAUUCAAACCCUUUCCUACUUGGAUUUCCUCUAAGCCAGUUAAUGAUUAUUGGCUUCACCUUCCUCAGCCUAGCCCCUUUCCCCACAGCCUGCCUAGAAUCCUCUGUCUCUUCCAGCCCAGGUAUCUGUAUUCUAAAAUCUUAGAAUCACAGAACGGUUUGGAUUGGAAGGGGCCCUAAACAACAUCUAGUUCCAACUCCCUGCUGUGGGAAGGAAUACCUUUUACUGUCCCAGGUUGUUCCCAAAUCUAAGUCCAACCUGGCCUUGGAUGCUUCCAGGGAUGGGGCAGCCACAGCUUCUCUGGACACCCUGUGGCAGGGCCUCACCACCCUCACAGGGAAAAUCUUCCUGGGAUUUGCCCUGUUUCAGUUUGAAGCUGUUUGCCCUUGUCCUGUCACAGUAUGUUCUUGUAAAUGGUCCCUCUUCAUCUUUCUUAUAGGCUCCCUGCAGGUACUGGAAGGCCCCAAUUAUGUCACUGUCAUGGUUUAGGAAUGGUGCUCCCCAAUUUAGGGCUCCUACCAAGACUCUCCAACCCAUGCACUGUCACUUACUCCCCCAAAUCCCUUCUCCCCUCUGCAGCAGGAUGGAGAGGAGAAUUGGAGGCACAAAAAGCAAAGAUCAUGAGUUGAGAUAAGAACAAUUCACUGGAAACAGCAAUGAGAUAAGAAAAUAAACAGUAACAGCACUAUAGCAAUGACAGAGAGUACAAAAAAGAAAUAUUCUUGCUUACUGCAGGAGCCCCAACAACAGACAAUAAAUUGUUCCCUCUGGUUCAGAGCCUGGGCCUCCCCACUUCCCUAUUCAACUUAGUUACUCUGCUGGAAGGAGCCCCUUCUCCUCAGAAGAGACUCCCUUCCCCUUACCCCUAGCACUGACAGAAGGUGUUAGGAUAACUUCCAUGUCCUUGCCAUGACCUCUCCUGGCUACUACAAAAAUGAACCCUCUUGGGUGGGAGCAGGACAGUCACCCUGAAGCCUUCUCUUUUCCAGGCUGAACAAUCCCAGUUCUCCCAGUCUUUCCUCACAGCAGAGAUCCUCCAUCCCUUUAAUCAUCUUGUUGGCCUUCUCUGGACUCAUUCCAACAGUCGUUACUGUGCUGGGACUCCACUUCCCAUGGGCCACUUCUGGGGCUCAUCCAGGUCCCUCUGGAUUGGCCUGUCCUUCAGGUGUGUCCCUGCCCCCUCAGCUUGGUGUCAUCUGCAAACCUGCUGAGGGUGCACUCAAUCCCUUCAUCUGUGUUAUUAAUGAAGUUAUUUAAAUAACUUUGGUCCAGUGUGGACUCCUGAAGGACACCCCUUGUCACUGACUGAACAUCAGGACUCUGAACCAUUGAUCACUACCCCUGCAAAAAUGGCCUUUUUGAACCCUUUUCCCCAUCAGUGCAUAGGAUUCAAGACCAUGACUAUCUCCUAAAUGUUUGUCACCUUUACUUCUAAUUCGUCCAUGUAGAAUUAACUUCAUAGCAGAGGCUUUUACAAAGUUAAAUAGGAGGCAAGAUUACCACACACAAAAAGCCUCCAACAGGCAUGAUUUCUCUGAGGUGAUUAUGUUCCUUUGUUUGAGCUUAAAGUCAAAGUAAAUGGAGAAGGAAUGUCUCUUUUAUUUUAGCAAGAAGCUCCCCUUGUUGGUCACAGUUAUUUUCAUUCGCCUUAAAAAGAUAAACCUUGGUUUGCUGGCUCAAAUCCAGCUGAGGCUGAGAAACCUGGACAGCUUUACUCUUACCUCUGAACUUGGAUGGUGGCUCAAUGACACAAGAGUUUUCAUAGGAUUAUUCUUAAACUUGGGAAAGUUUCCUGGUUUAGUUGGUGGCCCAGCUUCAUGAGCAGUUGUGUCAGGUCCCAGGACAGCAAGGGACAGCAGAUGGAGCUCAUGAAACCAGCAGUGACUGCCAAAGUCCCUCUGCUUUUGAGCUGUGCCCCAAGUUUGAGUGGAGUCAAUGGGAUCUUCUGUAGAACCAGAACCUAAGUCCCUAAUUAGCAAAAGCUGUUAGAAGAAGAAGGAUGCUCAGCAACUGAAUUUGUGGCUGCCCACAUCACAGAAGCCACUAUCAUAAUUAGCUUUCUCAUGGAAUGUUUCAACAAGAAUUAAUGGGCACAGCGUGCUGAAAUGCUGGUCCCUCUGAAGGCAAUGGUGAAGUUCUCACUGAUUUCAAAAGGGCCAGGGUUUCACAUUGAAACUCAAGCUCAAGCCCUCAUGCCCCCAGCAGGAAAGUCUGCAGCACAGAAGCUGGGGAAAUGGGAUCUAAUGUUGCCAUCCAAUGAGGCCUGUUACAACGUUUCACAGAAUAAGAUAGGACACCCUGAACUGUGACAUCAUCGUCAUCAUCUUGCUACAUUGCUUAGGUCAUACAGCUUAUAAAGAAAAAUGUUUCAUCCAACUCUUCCUCAAAACAAGGUCAGUUCUAAUAAAUGUGAUAGAAAUGUCUGGCACAGUUUAUCCUAUUCCAAGAGUGCAAUGGGUUCACCACAACAUUCCUUCUUCAAUGAGUAGAGGACCAGAUCAUAGAAUAAUAAAGAAUUUCUUCCUAAUAUUUGCAUUCUUCCAGUUGGAAGCCGUUCUCCCUUGUCCUAUCACUAAUGCCCUAGUGAAAAGCCCUUCUCCAUCUGUAAGGCCCCUUCAGGCACUAGAAGGCUUGAAGCCUCCUCUUCUCCAGGCUGAACGACCCCAGCUCUCUCAUUUGUGGCAGAGGUGCUCCAGCCCCAAGCUCAUCUUUGUGCCUCACCUCUGGAUUCAGCAGGUCCACAUCCCUCCGAUGUGGGGAGGCCCAGAGCAGGAUGCAGGACUCCAGGUGGGCUCUCAUGAGAGCAGAAUCACCUCCCCCAGUGACCAUGUUUUCCCUCUUGAAGUUCAAUCACAAGCAUUGAUACUUUUCCCCUCACUUUUCCUCCAGUGCCAUAUGAACUCACCUUUUUACCAGGAUGUAGGUGCCUCUUAAGCAGAUUUCCUUGAACAGAGUUAUCUCUCUAGUCCAGCAAUUUUCUCCAAGCAUCAAACCUGACUUGUUUUUGCCAUUACUAUCACCACAACCAAAUCACAGCAAAAAUUAGUACUUCCACUAAUUCUAGGGCAAUUUUCCCAUCAAAUCCCCUUUUUUUAUCACACACGGAGUUGCAUUUUCUCCUUGCAUUUCAGUACUAUUUUAUUAUUCCCCCCAACUCUC